GCCACUGUUUUAAAUUCCACAGGUCAGGAUUCCUAAUCCUGGUGUCGCAGGUUCGAAUCCUGCCGGGAUCACCA
rnacentral:tRNA from 1 species